CCUAAACUUUCGAAAGGAAGGCGUCUGUUGGGCAUUUGUAUCCGUCUUGAGUGAGGUGGUAAAUUUUCUAGUGCUGGGAUCGGUCUCGCAGGUAUCUCAGGUGUGGGUGACAGGAAAAGUGCCCGGUUCCACGUGGUGCAAAAGAUAAAAUGGAACUGUUAGAAAUAGCAAAAGCCAGCACAGCUAAAUCUUUAGGAAUAGCCUACCUUGACUUGCUAGCUAGUCUCAGAACUGUUCCUGUAGCUAAAGAAAGAAACUGGUACAGCUGUACCAAAUACUGCAAAAGUUGAGAGUUCAGAUAAUGAAAAUGAGAGUGAAUACGAUACCAACGCCAGCAUGACCCAGUCAAUAACAAAAAUGAAGACUAAACGGCUGUGUUAUUUUAAUGACAGAUGGAAGAACACAUACAACUGGAUCAGGGAGUUUCUUCAAAACAUGCAGGAGUGGGGCUGGCCCAGUGGCUCAGGCCGUUGGAGCUC